rnacentral:rRNA from 1 species
AUAUAAUUAGGCGGAGGAAAAGAAACUAACUAGGAUUCCCUCAGUAAGGGCGACUGAACGGGGAACAGCUCAGUAUGAAAUUGGCAUUUUAUGUCGAAUUGUGUGCUAAAAGCUUCGACGUUACAAUAUCCACUGUUAAAUCUCUUGGAAAAGGGUAGCAUAGAGGGUGAUACUCCUGUCAACAGUGGUCAUUGAGUUGAAGCUCUUGAGUCGUGCUGCUUGGGAUUGCAGUUCUAAGUGGGUGGUAAAUUCCAUCUAAGGCUAAAUAUUGGUAGGAGACCGAUAGCGCACAAGUA